rfam:Streptomyces alboflavus strain MDJK44, complete genome.
UGACCCCGUGCGGGAGAGCUCUUCGGUGGCAGCACCGGAGGCGCCGAAGGAGCAACUCCUCCCCGGAAUCUCUCAGGCCCAUGUACCGCACGGACGAG